CAAUAAGUCAGAGAUGCGGGAUUGCUUGGUGGGAAGCGACCACCUUGUGUCCUGGUAUCAGCAGAUAAGACCGGUUACCCGUGUGUCAGGAUAUCUGACCGGUUUCAUCAUAACAGCAGGAGAGCCUAUAUAGGACGUGAAUUCUACAAGUGAGACAAGGCAGUCUACGAAGCAAAACACGUGGUCGUAACUUGAGCGCCAGACAGGGUAGACACCUGACGUGUGUGACCAGUACGUGGCAGC